UGAGUAUAUAAACUAUAAAUACAUAAUAAUUUUUCUAUUACUGCCUAGAAGCAUUAUUUCUAGCUAUAUUAUAUCAAUCAGCCAAUAACAUGAAUAUGAAUACUGAUGGCAACACUACCUAAUGUUUAUGGUAUUACCAGGAGAAGGGACUAGAGGAUUUGUGAUUUAUCUGUUGCCUUGAUUUAGUGACUCAACUUUCUGUACAUUGAAAGUUGCCUUUAAUAAAAAAAAAAGUAUUUGACUUCUUAUUAUGAAGUCACAGUGGAUGUGAUGUAUGAGAUACAGAUCUUUUAACAGUAGAAUCUUUGUUCAUUUAUGUACUCACUUGGUCACUCACUGAUGACAACUAAUUGUCCUCAGAGCUGUGGCUUGGCAUUGGAAGAACCAUGAUGAACAGACAGAGACUGCCCUCAUAAAACUUACAGGCUCAUGUCAGAACAGACAUUAAGCUAAAUAUUCAGACAAAUAAGUGCAAAAUUGCAACUGCUUUCUGGAGGCUGGAAAGUCUAUGAUCAAGGCACAAGCAGAUUUGGCGUCUGAUGAGGGCUGAUUUCCUGGUUUAUCGAUCAUGCCAUCUCAUUGUGUGGUCACAUGGUGGAAGAGGGAAGGCGGAUGUCCGGGGUCUAUUUUAUUGCCUCCUCCUCUGAUUUACUUGAGCCAGUGUUUGAGUAAACUUCUUGCCUGGAAAAAUUACAGUCACCAAACUAAUUCAGUUACUGUUCAGAAUAAAUACACAGAAUGGCAAAUGGACCUCCCUGGAGUGGCUGGGGCAUUCAAAGUCUCUAUCCUGUCUUUGCUAUUUAUUUUCAUGCAUGCUACCAAACACCGAGAAGGCUGACCAGUGUGAUUAAGAGUAUAUCUCUGACAUCAAGUAGGCAUCUAAUUUGCCAGUAUGCUAUGGACACAUAAAGGUAUGUGGAAUUAAAAACGUGGUUGCAUCUAACUCUGUGGGUGUAAGGGGGUAGUUGGGGGAC
rnacentral:lncRNA from 13 species